GGGAUGCUGCUUCAGGGAGAAGUCUGAUAUGGGGGAGACAAGAAUCUUGGGCUAAUGAAGGUUGGGGUUUGUGGGGCCCUGGUGGGCAGGUGUCUGAUUGGACAGUGCAGAGCACUGGGGGAUUACGUGGGGCCCCUGGCAGGUGCAGUUUGGGGGGUGCAUCUGCGGCUACUAGCUGUUCAGUCUGUCAUCUCUGUUCCUUGGGUGCUCUGACCUUCAGGCAGGCACAUGCAGUAGCUGGUGUGGCUAGGCUCGAUCAGCCUCUGACUGAAGAGCAGGAGUGGGCGGAGGUUGGGGGGAGAGAGACCGUGAAAGCUAGUCCCUUCCUCCCUGCCCUUGGGAUACUGCAGUGCUGGUAGGAAAAUAGUGCGCCAAAGCCCUCUGAGAUCCUUGUUGAGGGGGAGGGAGCAGAUGCUGCAUACAACUCCCACUCCCCUACCCAAGCUCCUCGCAGCCUGGGUGGGUGGUGAGGUAAAUGUUGCCUGCAAGUCCCAUUCCCCUGCCUAGAGUUCCUUGCAGGGUGGGUGGCAAGUUUCUGAAUUUCCUGGCCCACCUACUUGACACAGCCUAUCACGUUUCAGCUAAGCCAUGCUUAGGCGCCAUUUUGAGGUUAAGCCAACAAAAGAGCAAUAUGCUGCCAACAAAAUGGGCAAAAUAUGGAAACAACUACCAAAAGACGUGGGUAAAAGAAAAGGAGUUGGAAGAUUGGAUAAAGCCUAUGGUCGGUGAUGACGACAGCAAAGCUGCAUGCAGAUUUUGUAAAAAUCUAGAUUCUUGCACAUCAUGCAGGGACUGACAAACAUAAAACAAAUGCAACACCGUUUUCUUCUAUGCACCUGACAGAUACUGGAUUUUCAGAAUCAAAGCAUCAACCAUGAUGCCCCAAGCAGAUUUAAAUCUAGCCUGCUACAUUGCCUGCCACUCAGAGAUUAGUUCCAUGGAUCACCUUGGGGAAGUUGUCGGAUCAGCGUUUGAAAAAGAGGGAAAACCUCAACUAACAUCUCCAUGCUGAAUUUUCAAAGGUGACUUGGGGGCCUUGGAUGCCCAGUAUCAAGCCAUCAGCUUCCAGCAAUGGAAGAGCACAGAUGUGGAGCAGUUCUGGGUGGAAGUAUACAAUUUUCAAGACAGUAGCGGUGAACAGUGCUUUAAAGAGCUAGCUGUUUGCACUUUCCCUACUCGCCAUGCCUCUGAGUAAUGCUGAUGUGGAACAAGUGUUCACUCGAGAGAAGUCCAAGCACUGGAACGGGAUGAGUCGCCGGACUCUGGCUGCAGGAGGCCAGCACACUGUGGGAGUCUGAAGAGCCAUGGAUCACACAUGAACAAUCAUGAAAGGCCAUGGAGCACCUCAGCAACAUUCCACAUUUGUACCCCUUUCUAGAUAAAUGUACUAAAUGCUGGUGUUCUGCUUAUAAAUGGGACGCUUUGAAGACAAUCUCACUUAAACACUAAUAGUCUUUACCACUGAAAACAUCUGAGUUUCCAGUCCCUACUCAGCAAAAUAAGUUGACCAGUAACUAGUAUGGGUGUUUGCAUGAGUCGUCAAAUUGUAGUGAGUCAUGCUGACAGUAGCAUAUUAUAGUGGUGUACAAAGCCGAAAGGUAUCAGAUGCUCUUUUGGUACUGCAUUGGAAUAAGGCUAUUCUGUUUGUAUUCCAGUAGUACCUCGAGGCCUGUAGUGGGACUGGGGCUCUAUUGUAACUGCUGUAGAAAGGUAAUGGAUUUAAUGCUUUUGGGCAGGGCAGAAUGUGUAAGCAGGGGUUCUCUUGACCCCUCGGGGUGGGGGUUGCAGGGUGGUUACAUGGAGGUCAUGAGCCCUCAUUAAAUUAAUUUUCCUCCCCCCAUUUUUAAUUUAUAAGGGGGGGGGGGUUACACCCCGGCUUCCUAUGUGAAAGGGGUCACCAAUGUCUACAGAAUAAGAGGAUGUUGUGUCCUGCUAUAAUGUGUUACGAUGAUUUAAUUUGAGGCAGCAAUUUAAAGGCCUUUACUUCCAUAUAUGUACUACUCAGCAGUAUGUGUGGCAGCAGAAAUGCUGCCCUCUAGCGAGCAAAACCACUUAAAGAGGGUG